AUUGAACGCUGGCGGAAGGACUAAAACCUGCAAGUCGAGCGGAGCGGCGGACGGGUGAGUAAUGCCUAGGACUCUGCCUGGUAGUGGGGGAUAACGUCCGGAAACGGGGGCUAAUACCGCAUACUAUCAGAUGAGCCUAGGUCGGAUUAGCUAGUUGGUGGGGUAAAGGCCUACCAAGGCGACGAUCCGUAACGUGUCUGAGAGGAUGAUCAGUCACACUGGAACUGAGACACGGUCCAGACUCCUACGGGAGGCAGCAGUGGGGAAUAUUGGACAAUGGGCGAAAGCCUGAUCCAGCCAUGCCGCGUGUGUGAAGAAGGUCUUCGGAUUGUAAAGCACUUUAAGUUGGGAGGCGUUACCAACAGAAUAAGCACCGGCUAACUUCGUGCCAGCAGCCGCGAUAAUUC
rnacentral:rRNA from 1 species